rnacentral:other from 1 species
ACGGCCCUGCCGUGUUCGUGGUGAAGCUACCUAACGUGAUGAGCCAACACCAUCACAUGGGGAGCUCGGGCUCUGCGGGCGGAGGGCAGGCUGCCGACGCCUUGGGUGGCAGUAGCCCGCAAACCCGCAGGAGGGCACCCACCUUGCAGAGCGCCGGGUUCAUCCACGGGUAGCCCCAGCGGCACGGCGGGGUUUUU